rnacentral:misc_RNA from 1 species
GAUGAAGAACGUAGCGAAAUGCGAUACGUAAUGUGAAUUGCAGAAUUCAGUGAAUCAUCGAGUCUUUGAACGCACAUUGCGCCCCCUGGUAUUCCGGGGGGCAUGCCUGUCCGAGCGUCAUUGCUGCCCUCAAGCACGGCUUGUGUGUUGGGCCUCCGUCCUCCUCCCGGGGGACGGGCCCGAAAGGCAGCGGCGGCACCGCGUCCGGUCCUCGAGCGUAUGGGGCUUCGUCACCCGCUCUUGUAGGCCCGGCCGGCGCUUGCCGACACAUCAAUCUUUUUUCCAGGUUGACCUCGGAUCAGGUAGGGAUACCCGCUGAACUUAAGCAUAUCAAUAAGCCGGAGGA